CGGAGUAUAGCACAGUUUGGUAGUGCGUUGCGUUUGGGACGCAAAGGUCCGAGGUUCGAAUCCUCGUACUCCGACCA
rnacentral:tRNA from 1 species